GGCUGAGCGGCAGCGGGACUGUGGACUUUGUCGCUCUGAGAGUCGCUCUCCGACGUCGGGCUGGUGUUGACGCCAUCGGAGUGGCCCUGGGCAGCAGACUGGGACGGCCUCCUGCGCUUCCGGCAAUGGAGAGUCUUCAGCUGACUGCGCUGAUCGGAGCGAGGCCUGCAACCCUGGAGGAGCUACAGAGCAGGGGACAGGAUUUCAGAGCUACAGCUAAAUGGAAAGCUUAGAUGAGGAAAUAUAAACCAUUUCUUCCAGCUGUCAUCGUGGAGAACAUGAGAGUUCUUUCUUUGGAUGCAGUCCAGCCUCCGUUUCCGUGACCUCAGUGUGACGAGGUCAAGCAAAGGUGCGAAGGACUCAGGAACAGAAGCUGGAUGCUCAGUGAAUCCAUCUGCGCUCACACUGGACUGCUAACCAGCCUGAUGGAGGAUGUCUGCUGCUACAAAACACACAUCUCACUUCCCCCUGUUUUCUCACCACAUUGCCUCAUGCAGGUCAUCUAAACCAGAGCCACCAGUGAAAAAUAUCACUUCAUUAUAAAAAACAAAAAACAGAACAUAAAACCAACAAAAUAAAACAUUUCAGAGUAAUCUUUCUUUUCCUCAUCUGUGUCUAAAUCACUCCAUCCAUCACUUCCUCCAGCCAGCCAAAAGACAAAAAGAAAAAACAUUCAAGAUAAUUAGAAAGGCUGCGAUACGACAACAGGCAUUGAAGCUUAAUUAUCCAGAACCUUAAACACACUUUGACAUCUAUCAAACUAGUUUGAUAGAGCUCAUAUAAAGCUAUGUACUUCGUGUGAGGCAACACCUCAACAAGGAUUAGCACCAGCGGGUAAAGGCAGGAAAUGGGAAAUAAACGUAUAAACUUAUAUAGAUGCUCUGCAGCGACUGUCAGUCACGCUGACAGCUUGUUGGAUGGUGCAUCGUCUAUGAACUGUGAACACCUCCCCUUUCAUAAAGGAUGGUCCGGUGUAUCCUCUGCUAAAGGAAGGAACAAAGGACGCAUUGAAGCUUCUUUCCUUACUAUCUGGAGAAUUCAAGAGAGGUCUUAUUAAAGCUGCUAUGCUGACAUUGCUGGGUCACUUCCUGGAUUUGGGUCACUUCCUGAUGAGACUAAAGGACUGGGUAAAUGUGCCAAUCCACACCUUACUUUAUAAUUUAUGAUGAUUAUUUUGUUUGGAUGCUCAUGCCGUUUCUUCUUACGUGCUUUCUGCAUAGCAACAGGCUGACACUCUAUACCAGGACACGCUUCCCCUUGGUGCCGAUAGCGUUCUCUUUAUUUAUUUAUUUAUUUACUCAGUGAUAAGGUGUCAACACAGGUUCUUGACUGCUUUUAAUGCCAUACAAUGAAACGAGAGAUUUCUGCUUCAUAGUUUAACUCUUUGACUCUACUACAGCAGCUUUGCAUGAAUCACAAUUCAUAAUAAUCCCCAUCUAUCUAUUCUGAGCCUUCAUGCACCCCUCAGUUAUUCCUGUGUCUGAAACAAGCCGAUUUGGCUUCUCUCCCUUUCAGUCAUCUUUCUUCUGAUUGGCUGCCCUUGCACAGGUGGGUGGGAACCGUGUGCUCGCAACCAGAGCUCGGUCAAAGAAUGUCCCCAUCCUUCCACUCCUCCAGCUUUCAGAAUGGGAGGCCAAAAUAUUUAUUUUGUGGCUUCGGCUUUUCUUUGGUUUUUGUUUUAACACUGGUUCUCAUGUCUGUGAUAGUGGAAAUAAGGACAAUGAUCAAGAGUUUCUUUUAUGGGUUUUGAUUGCAGUAAAAUACCUUUCUGUAAAUUUUUGUGACAUCACAGCACCAUGAGCAGCUUUAUGGCAUCUGCCAUUUUGAUUUGAGGCACGAAGCGAGCAGCAGCCUCCUGAUAGCAUCACCAUCAACCACCACAAGCAGUUCCUUCUUAUCCACACACAGAAGCCUCUUAAUUACUUUUUUAAUGUCUGUUUUAAUUAUUGCUUAUAAACAAACAGCAUCCAGGGAACAUGAGCCGGCAUAAAAGCUGAACUGAAUAUCUAGUAUGAUGAGAGUAUUUUUAAAGGCAAAAUUAAAAGGGGACAGUCAUUUGAAUUUAUUAAUACAACUGAUACCACGUUUACAAAAACAAAGAAAAUGAGGGCUUUACAAAAGCAAAAUAAGUCCCGAGGGCCAGAGGAGGCCAGCCCAUUGUCUUAAUCCGGCCUCAAACAUUCAGGAAGAAAACCUAAACCAGGGCUAGUCUAUUACUCAGAUGGUGAAUAUAAAUAAAAAGAAACACUGAUUCAGCUUUUCAGUGGAUUAUUUUAUGUCAUGGUACUCGAGACGGUCACAGAGUGACCAACGUCGUCUGUCAGAAAGUUGUGGGACUCAUUCUUAUCCUUAUGUCUACCAAAUUGGUGGAGUUUAGUAAAUGUGUCGCUCCGUGCUUCAGCUCUGUGUAGUCCUUUGUAUCAUUUAAGUAAGUACGGCUCUCUGAAUGAAACUGGCUUCCCACCCGUGUUCUUGAAGCAGGUGUAAGAACCUAUUUUAGCCAUUUAGCUCCAUUUGCUCUUAUUCAUUGAAGCUACUUGAAGCCAUUUUCAGAACAACAGCAUUAAUAAGGAGUUGAUGGCUCUCCAUAGAUUGGCUCUGAUGGGUUCUGAGCGCCCAUAUUAGGGAUAUCCCCUCUCUGUGACAUCACACAGAUCCAAGAUUAGAAAGGUCUGCCUGGUGUUUUGGCUCACAGGGAUUCCUUGACCGGCAUUUGAAACUUUGCCCACGUUUAACGUGAACAUCCAGCACCAGCAGUUUAAACACAACCCAGAAGAUGCAGUCAUGUGCUGCUGCGCAAGUGUGGUCCCUGAAGUGGACCUCCUACAAGCCUAAUUGAGGUGGAGUGUGUGGCUCAACAUCAUGCCUGUUCACCUCCCUCCAACAUCAUCAUGAGCAGAGGUCUGAUGGAAACGGUGUGCAUGCAUGUAAGGUGGUGCAUUCAUGUGAGGA